AACGAACGCUGGCGGCAUGCCUAACACAUGCAAGUCGAACGAGCCCUUCGGGUCUAGUGGCGCCCGGGUUCGUAAGGCGUGGGGACCUGACCUUAGGGUCGGAAUAACUCCCCGAAUGGGGUGCUAAUACCGGAUCGUGUCUUCGGCCCGAAGAUUUAUCGCCUAGUGAUGGGCCAGAGUUAGAUUAGGUAGUAGGUAGGGUAAAAGCCUACCAAGGCGACGAUCCAUAGCUGGUAUGAGAGGAUGAUCAGCAACACUGGGACUGGGACACGGCCCAGACUCCUAGGAGAGGCAGCAGGGGGGAAGAUGGGACAAUGGGCGAAUGCCGAAGCCAUCAAGGCCGCGUGAGUGAGUAAGUCCGUAGGGACGUAAAUCUCUUUUACCCGGGAUGAUAAUGACGGAACCGGGAAAAUAAGCACCGGCUAACUCCGG
rnacentral:rRNA from 1 species